CUCGGUCUGUCUGUAGUUCUGCCUCACAUCUCAUACGACUCGGUCUGUCUGCAGGUCUGCCUCACAUCUCAUACGACUCGGUCUGUCUGCAGGUCUGCCUCACAUCUCAUACGACUCGGUCUGUCUGUAGGUCUGCCUCACAUCUCAUACG